rnacentral:misc_RNA from 1 species
UUUCCGUAGGUGAACCUGCGGAAGGAUCAUUAUUGAAACUUCAUCCGGGGCGCCGCGGCCCUCAUCACCGGUGGAAACGCCGUGCUGCGGGGGCCGCGCGUGCACUCGUCCAAACCAAACCCCUGUGAACCUUACGGGAUGGCCCGGGUUAGCGCCCGGUGCCGUUCCGCUUUAUACAAACACUUAUCAAAGAAUGAACUGAAGGCGGUCUGACCGCUGGAUAACAAACUGAAACAACUUUCAACAACGGAUCUCUUGGCUCUC